rnacentral:tRNA from 1 species
GGGGUUUCUGGGUUUCUGCUGGUGAUGGUCCUUUUUGGACCACACUGGCAGUGUGGGGGUCAGGGGUUCGAAUCCCCUCAGCUCCA